UACGGGGGGGGCAAGCGUUGUUCGGAAUUACUGGGCGUAAAGGGCUCGUAGGUGGCCAACUAAGUCAGACGUGAAAUCCCUCGGCUUAACCGGGGAACUGCGUCUGAUACUGGAUGGCUAGAGUUUGGGAGAGGGAUGCGGAAUUCCAGGUGUAGCGGUGAAAUGCGUAGAUAUCGAGAGGAACACCAGUGGCGAAGGCGAGUCUCUGGACGACUCCUGACACUGAGGCACGAAAGCUGGGGGAGCAAACAGG
rnacentral:rRNA from 1 species